GACGAACGCUGGCGGCGUGCUUAACACAUGCAAGUCGAGCGGUAAGGCCCUCGGGUACGACGAGCGGCGAACGGGUGAGUAACACGUGGGUGACCUGCCUCUAGCUCUGGGAUAAGCCUGGGAAACUGGGUCUAAUACCGGAUAUGACUCCACGGCGCAUGUUGUGGGGUGGAAAGCCUUGUGUGGCUAGAGAUGGGCCCGCGGCCUAUCAGCUUGUUGGUGGGGUGAGGCCUACCAAGGCGACGACGGGUAGCCGGCCUGAGAGGGCGACCGGCCACACUGGGACUGA
rnacentral:rRNA from 1 species